AUUGAACGCUGGCGGCAGGCCUAACACAUGCAAGUCGAGCGGAUGAAGGGAGCUUGCUCCUGGAUUCAGCGGCGGACGGGUGAGUAAUGCCUAGGAAUCUGCCUGGUAGUGGGGGAUAACGUCCGGAAACGGGCGCUAAUACCGCAUACGUCCUGAGGGAGAAAGUGGGGGAUCUUCGGACCUCACGCUAUCAGAUGAGCCUAGGUCGGAUUAGCUAGUUGGUGGGGUAAAGGCCUACCAAGGCGACGAUCCGUAACUGGUCUGAGAGGAUGAUCAGUCACACUGGAACUGAGACACGGUCCAGACUCCUACGGGAGGCAGCAGUGGGGAAUAUUGGACAAUGGGCGAAAGCCUGAUGCAGCAAUGCCGCGUGUGUGAAGAAGGUCUUCGGAUUGUAAAGCACUUUAAGUUGGGAGGAAGAGAAGUAAGUUAAUACCUUGCUGUUUUGACGUUACCAACAGAAUAAGCACCGGCUAACUUCGUG
rnacentral:rRNA from 1 species